UAACAAGGAUUCCCCUAGUAACUGCGAGUGAAGCGGGAAAAGCUCAAAUUUAAAAUCUGGUAGCCUUCGGUUGCCCGAGUUGUAGUCUGGAGAAGCGUCUUCCGCGCUGGACCGUGUACAAGUCUCUUGGAACAGAGCGUCAUAGAGGGUGAGAAUCCCGUCUUUGACACGGACUACCAGUGCUUUGUGAUGCGCUCUCAAAGAGUCGAGUUGUUUGGGAAUGCAGCUCAAAAUGGGUGGUAAAUUCCAUCUAAAGCUAAAUAUUGGCGAGAGACCGAUAGCGAACAAGUACCGUGAGGGAAAGAUGAAAAGCACUUUGGAAAGAGAGUUAAACAGUACGUGAAAUUGCUGAAAGGGAAACGCUUGAAGUCAGUCGCGUCGUCCAGAACUCAACCUGGCUUUUGCUUGGUGCACUUUCUGGUUGACGGGCCAACAUCAGUUUUGACUGUCGAAAAAAGUCCUUAGGAAUGUGGCACCCUCGGGUGUGUUAUAGCCUUUGGUCGUACGCGAUGGUUGGGACUGAGGACCGCAGCACGCCUUAUGGCCGGGGUUCGCCCACGUACGUGCUUAGGAUGUUGCCGU
rnacentral:rRNA from 1 species